CUCUCUCUCUCUCUCUCUCUAAUGCAGAAUGUAAUCAUCUCAUUCAUAAAGUUCAUUAGAGGCAAGUGAGAGCUGAAAUCUGCGGCAGCUUGCACCAGGUCUAAUAAAGAAUUGCAGAUGCUGCUGUAGAACUUGUGUCUAUACAAUUUUUUGACAUGGAACAGAACUCUAGCUGCAUCACUGUAAAGACACAAUUUUUUUUUUUUUUUCUGAAGAAUAGACAUACAAUUUUUAGUUUCUGUUUAUAACUAGGAAUAUCAAUUAUCUAUUUAUCAGAGGAUUACUUAAUUUUAUGAAAAAGUGUUACAAUAUAGAAUUAAUUUCUUGCUUUAUUCUGAAUGAUUUAGGUGAUACUCACAUUGACAAACUAUGAAGACAACAGAAUCUUGUCAAGGAGCAGCAGGAACAUCUUCAAGCCUUCAACGAGUUCAACCACUAUGUUGAGCUUUAGAGAUUCUAACCUCUCAGCAGCUUUGCAUGUGCUUAUGGUUUUGCAGACGUGAUCUUGUCAUUCAUCUGAAGUUGACUAUAUAAACAGGAAGAAUAACCUCUUUUGAUUCAGAUCCAAUGAACGUGGGACACUCAGAAAGAAAUGAGCAAAAGCUGGGAAAGAGAUGGAUAUGCUCCAACUUGUACGAUUAUAAUAGAAUGAUUUUUCAUGCUGGUGGGGAAUUUAUGUUGGAUUGCAAGUACCACCUCUCUUCUUAUGCAAGGUACAAUGGUUUAUCAUCUCCUACGUUCCUGUGAUUUAUUUUUUGGUUCAACACUACUACCAUGAACCUAUAAAAACUACUUAUUUCUUUUCCUCUUCUUUGUAUGUGAAAGAUAUUUUAUCUUUAUAAAACUUACACAGUUACAAAUCAAUGUUGAUUUGAACAAUAUAUUGCUUCUUGGGAGUGAGAGUGAAUGGUACUCUGUAAGAAAGUCUCCACCCCCAAGUUGUAGUGUGAAUUGAUCCCACAACUUCAUGAUUGUGAGGUAUAAUUUUUACUAUUAGACUUUAUACUACUCCGUACUAGUAGUUGGUAUACUAUACGGAGUACUAAUGAGUGAUCAUUUACAAUGUGUCUGGUAAGUAAACUUUUUAAUAAAAAUAUAGAAGUCACCUGUGAUUUACAAAAUGGUUUGAUUUGUACUUCUCAUCUAUCUGUUGUUAAGCGACGAGCAAAUAUUUUUCACAAAAGCUUUAGAAAAGUGGAGGUUUCAAAACACAAGUUGGUUAUUCGCGAUUAAAGAUAGCACUAGAUCAGGUUUGCUUGCUUGUAACACGACAUGAUAAAUAUGCUAAAACUAAUUAAAUUUGAUGCAUACGCAAGCAUUGGCUAGGCUUAGUAGCACAUGUGCUUAUACCUCGUGAAAAUUUUCAGCAUAACACGUAACUAAUAGGCUCAGUCGUGGUUAAGAUUUAGCCAAGCCCCAAGGCACACAAGCCUGGCACGAGGCACAACCUAUAACAUUUAAUUCAUGAUCUAUAUACUACAACUUGAGGUAUUGAGACUUGAGAGGGCGAAAAAUUUAUUUUCCUGUUAAACAAAAAGAAUGUUUAUCAAG